CCACGCCCAUUCUUUUAUGUCUGGUCUGCGGCUGCUUUUGUGUUGCAACGGCAGAGAGGAGAAACUGCAACAGAGACCCUACCCUGGCAACACUGCGGAUAUUUACCGCCUGGCCCUUCGCAGAAAAUGCUUGCUUAUCCCCUAGCUUGGCUGUUUCUGGGGGAAUAGAUGAGAAAUUGGUAACAGUGGUUUCCUCCAGGAAGGAGAACAGGAUGGCUGGAGAAAGAGAGGACAGGAAAGUGCAAAGGUCACACAGCUCAGAAGUUACACAGCCGCAAUUCCAGUCCAGCUGUGAUAGAUCCAGCACAAAAAUGUCCCCUGCCUUUAUCCACAUCCGUGGCAGGAGACUUUGCAGCUCUUCCCAUCAGGAGACAGAGCCUGUUUCCCCACCUCUGGCAUCGGGGCUGGCCGUGUGACCUGUCUGGAGCAGCAGAAUGGGGCAGAAGCCUAGGCCACGAGGAGCAUGCACCUCCUGACAACAGACCCAGGUUGAUCAUCUGGGUGACGAGAGGCUCCUGGUCUGGUCACUCCCUCGCCCACGGCGACAGCUGGCCAUCCACGGAAUGUGUGGGUGGGGCCAUGCUAGACCACCCAGCCCCUUGCUCUUCGGCCCGCUGACCAGAGACAUCUCUGGAGCCCAGCCCAGAUCCGCGGAGCCCCAGCGUACUCAAGCAGCACCAACCGGCUGGCUGUGGCGGUGAAUUUUAUGAGUCAACUUGACAGGGCCGUGGCUGCCCAGCUGAUUGGUUAACCGUCAUGCUGGGUGUGUCUGUGAGGGUGUUCCCGGAAGAGAGUAGCAUGUGAAUUGGUAAACUGAGGAAAGCAGAUGGCCAUCCCAGCCUGGGUGGGGCUCAGCCAUCCCGUUGGAAGCCUUAGGAGAACAAAAGGUGACAUGAAGGAGAAUUCUCUUUCUCUGCUUGUCUUUAAGCUGGGACAUGGGUCUCCUCCCGCCUGCGGGCUCUGACUGGGACUUGCCCCUCCCCUCUCCUGAUGGCCAGCUUGUCACCUGCAGAUGGUGGGAUCUCAGCUUGGGUCACUGCGUGAGCCAAUUCCUAUAAUACAUCUCUCUCUCUCCUAUGUGUCUCCUAUUGGUUCUGUUUCUCUGGAGAACCCAGGAUAAUUGGCUGACUGUAGACUCAUGAGCAAUAACAGGUGCUAACUGUUUUAGGCCCCUGGGCCAUGGGCUGGCUUGUUGCGCGGCAAUAGCUAACUGAUACACUGUAUCUGCCUGUGGCCUUGGAGCUGCCCCAUCGCCUUCCGUGCUCUGUGGACCUUUCUCACAGGACAGGUUUCUUCAAACAGCAGCUCAUCUCGGGCUCCUG
rnacentral:lncRNA from 1 species